rnacentral:rRNA from 1 species
GUGGGGAAUCUUGCGCAAUGGGCGAAAGCCUGACGCAGCCAUGCCGCGUGAAUGAUGAAGGUCUUAGGAUUGUAAAAUUCUUUCACCGGGGACGAUAAUGACGGUACCCGGAGAAGAAGCUCCGGCUAACUUCGUGCCAGCAGCCGCGGUAAUACGAAGGGGGCUAGCGUUGCUCGGAAUUACUGGGCGUAAAGGGCGCGUAGGCGGACAGCUUAGUCAGAGGUGAAAGCCCAGGGCUCAACCUUGGAAUUGCCUUUGAUACUGGCUGGCUUGAGUUUGGGAGAGGUGAGUGGAACUCCGAGUGUAGAGGUGAAAUUCGUAGAUAUUCGGAAGAACACCAGUGGCGAAGGCGACUCACUGGCCCAAUACUGACGCUGAGGCGCGAAAGCGUGGGGAGCAAACAGGAUUAGAUACCCUAGUAGUCC